UACGGAGGGGACUAGCGUUGUUCGGAAUCACUGGGCGUAAAGCGCACGUAGGCGGAUCUUUAAGUCAGGGGUGAAAUCCCAGAGCUCAACUCUGGAACUGCCUUUGAUACUGGGUGUCUUGAGUAUGGAAGAGGUGAGUGGAAUCCGAGUGUAGAGGUGAAAUUCGUAGAUAUUCGCAAGAACACCAGUGGCGAAGGCGGCUCACUGGCCCGGUACUGACGCUGAGGUGCGAAAGCGUGGGGAGCAAACAGG
rnacentral:rRNA from 1 species